CACAGCGAAUAAAACAAAAGCAGCAUUAUCACUGUCUGGUUGCAGGUGACAACAUUUUUUUUUUUUUUUUCAAUCCGCUCCUUUUUUUCUCUUUUUU
rnacentral:ribozyme from 14 species